rnacentral:rRNA from 1 species
UGGGGAAUUUUGGACAAUGGGCGAAAGCCUGAUCCAGCAAUGCCGCGUGUGUGAAGAAGGCCUUCGGGUUGUAAAGCACUUUUGUCCGGAAAGAAAUCCUUGGCUCUAAUACAGUCGGGGGAUGACGGUACCGGAAGAAUAAGCACCGGCUAACUACGUGCCAGCAGCCGCGGUAAUACGUAGGGUGCAAGCGUUAAUCGGAAUUACUGGGCGUAAAGCGUGCGCAGGCGGUUUGCUAAGACCGAUGUGAAAUCCCCGGGCUCAACCUGGGAACUGCAUUGGUGACUGGCAGGCUAGAGUAUGGCAGAGGGGGGUAGAAUUCCACGUGUAGCAGUGAAAUGCGUAGAGAUGUGGAGGAAUACCGAUGGCGAAGGCAGCCCCCUGGGUCAAUACUGACGCUCAUGCACGAAAAGCGUGGGGAGCAAACAGGAUUAGAUACCCUGGUAGUCCACGCCCUAAACGAUGUCAACUAGUUGUUGGGGAUUCAUUUCCUUAGUAACGUAGCUAACGCGUGAAGUUGACCGCCUGGGGAGUACGGUCGCAAGAUUAAAACUCAAAUGAAUUGACGGGGUCAUAGCUGUUUCCU